rnacentral:lncRNA from 1 species
UCAUCUUUCUAAGAUGAAUACUUGUGAUUUAAGAAAUGGGAGAUUUUCCCCUUUUAUGUUUUGAAAUAUUUUCCUUAAAAUUACUCUGAAAUUAACAUUUAAGCAUUGUCUUGCUCCUGAAGUGGCUAUGAAUGAGAUAAUAUACUUGUUCAUGAAAUCAGAGAUUUUGCAUGUAUUUUGGAAGCUGUGCCUUGAAUGCAUGUGGUUAUUGUUUGCCUUUAAAUACAUCAUAUUUGGUCUGACUUAAAUAUGCAUGUGACACCCUCUAAUCAGUUACAUUGAGUAAACCAGUGAUAGACAGACACAUAUAAUGUUAAAUUAAAAUCUGCCCACCCAUACUAUUCAGAAUACUGUGAUGGUAGUUUGGCACAUUUAUGUCUAUGGUAUAGAUAUGACUUCAAACUGGUUUCCUCAGCUUUUUAAAUUGUUUAGUGGCACAAGAAUCUCUUUCCUGCAGCAUCGUUAUUAUGUAACAUGGGUUUCCUAACAGAAAGUGAAUAGUGCAGAUUCAUUGGAGAAUGAGACAGAAUGGAGCAUGAAGGACUGGUCUUCUUGUACAGAUUGUUUGAUCCCUUCUGCUGUGGUCAUCUGAUCUGUCCUCUAGCGGGAUGUUACCUAACUGGGUCACAAGAGUAUCCAGGCUGGGCGAUGGUGUAGGCUUCCCUCUCGCUCCUUGCCCCAGCCCCCUCUCUCGGGUACAAAGUGAGAGACCUUCCUUAGCACAGUUUCUGUGGCAACACUUCCAUGAGAACCUGGGCCUCAUCUUCCAGCCUUAGAAGAUAAAAAUGUGCAGCUUACGUCUUCCAGACUCUCUGUGCUGUGAAAAGCUGUGGGAGCAUGAGAUUAUCUGGCCUUGUGCAUGUAACUGCCGUGGCCUAGAAUGUGUGUACUGUAACGAAAAAUCAUGGAUUUUAUAUGCACCAUCUCUUGAGGAAAUUGCUCAAUUCCCAGUGAUAAGCGAUACUUUUUACUCUUUAAAAUGCUACAUAAUCAUACAUUCAAAAUACAUUUAUUUUGUACUGAACAACCAUGAUAUCUGAAGUCUAUUAUGGCUGUGUGAAGGAAUGAUACUUGGAAUAGAUGAUUUUGAAUACUUGUUUCCCCCCAUCAAGGUGAUGAAGUUCAGAAUACUGUUUAAUGAAGCCAGAUAUGUUGAAAGUCCCUAAAAUCCAGUCUUAAGAAAAUGAGAAUAUUCAGUGACUCAUUGAUGCUCAUGCUUGAAAGAAAGAUAUCUUGAUAUGACACACAUGGCACUGCAUGCAUCAGCACUUCUUACUCUUGCACAAACAGAAGACUUGUGACCGAAGACUCAAGACACUUAAUUGCACAUUAUUUCAGAAAGAGACAAGGAAAAUAGAUAAUCUAAACUCAUUUAAACUUCAGCAUGAGCAGCAGUCACUUUCAUUUCUGUGGAAUUAUGUACAAUAAUCAAGAAGGUUAGAAUAUGUGAUUAAAACCAGUGACUUCCACUGACUGCGGUGAUUGCUUUAAUUCUGUGCAGCUCUUUGGAAUUUAUUCAAGAUAAAAAAAUAUAUUUGUUUAUCAAUAGAUUCCAAGUUAUGUCAUGGUUUGGUUGUGAUAUUUGAUGAAUGAUUUCCAUUGCACAUGUAUUGACUUGCUCUAUUGGCAGUAACUGUACUAUAAUUUCUGUAUAUCAUAGAGGAUGAAAGACAGUGGUCUUAUAUACUAUACUGGGAAGUCAAUAGAAGUUAUGUAAUCAAUCCAUUAUGCUGACUAUCAUUCCAUGGGCCAGAGUAGAUUUGCUCUUCUUUUCUUUAAAUAUUGAUGUUAACCUUUUUUUAGUUUUUUUUUCUUUUUUUUUCUUACCUAAGCACCUCUUUGAUGAUGAAGUACACUAUUUUUUGCGACUGUAUUUUAAAAAUCAUACUGCCCUUUGUGUAUAUUGAAAGACAAUGCAUGGAAAGCUCUGGCCCUUUUAUUUGUUUAGACUAUAACAAUUUGAUUGUGAAUUUCAAGACUUCGGGGAAAUAUCUGCAUUAUAUUGCUGGCAAACCAAAGAGAUUUAACAGUGGCCUAUUAAAACACUAUAAUACAAAUAGUAUUUGAAAAAAAGGAAAUAAGUAUAGGCUUAUUAAACAUAAUAAAAGAUAGACGUAAAGCUAUUCAGUCAUGUGGAAACAAUUAUGCCUUUGUUGUGUCACAUCUUUAUAACGAUCCUUUUCAUUACUGUACUUUGUGGUCUGGAAUAGAAUAUGUACCGUUACCUAGUGAAAUGUUUACCUUUGAAAAGAAAAUGCACACACAAAAAAAAACAAACUUAUUUUGACCUGCCCUCCAUCAUGAAUCUACAAAAGGCAACAGUACUAGUCUAGCACUGCAUGACAAUGUACAAGAGGCUGGAAUCAUUACUUCUUAUGCCUCACUGGGACAUAGAGUUGCCGUUAUUUCUGCAUUGAAUACCACAAACACGACUGUAUAAUGCCAACAAAUGAUGUACACUAUAACUAUUGUCAGUGAUUAUUAAAGUAUAAUUUUA